rnacentral:rRNA from 1 species
UACGGAGGGUGCAAGCGUUAAUCGGAAUUACUGGGCGUAAAGCGCACGCAGGCGGUCUGUCAAGUCGGAUGUGAAAUCCCCGGGCUCAACCUGGGAACUGCAUCCGAAACUGGCAGGCUAGAGUCUUGUAGAGGGGGGUAGAAUUCCAGGUGUAGCGGUGAAAUGCGUAGAGAUCUGGAGGAAUACCGGUGGCGAAGGCGGCCCCCUGGACAAAGACUGACGCUCAGGUGCGAAAGCGUGGGGAGCAAACAGGAUUAGAUACCCUGGUAGUCCACGCCGUAAACGAUGUCGACUUGGAGGUUGUGCCCUUGAGGCGUGGCUUCCGGAGCUAACGCGUUAAGUCGACCGCCUGGGGAGUACGGCCGCAAGGUUAAAACUCAAAUGAAUUGGCGG